rnacentral:rRNA from 1 species
AUACGGAGGGGGCUAGCGUUGUUCGGAAUUACUGGGCGUAAAGCGUACGUAGGCGGACUGAUCAGUUGGGGGUGAAAUCCCAGGGCUUAACCCUGGAACUACCUUCAAUACUGUCAGUCUUGAGUUUGGGAGAGGUGAGUGGAAUUCCUAGUGUAGAGGUGAAAUUCAUAGAUAUUAGGAGGAACACCAGUGGCGAAGGCGGCUCACUGGCCCAUUACUGACGCUGAGGUACGAAAGCGUGGGGAGCAAACAGGAUUAGAAACCCCAGUAGUCC